GUUAGCAUGCUAUUGCGUUAGCUCAUCAACUAGAUGCUGGGCACUGCUCAUUUUUCACGUCUGCCCGGCAUUUCGCUGAUGAACUAACGCUUAGACGCCUUGCCAAUGUAUUUUACAGCGGCAAAAAUGCAUCUAGGCGACGUUGGAAAGACUGGUGUGCCGUCUGGGUAUGUUGGUUUUCAGUGCUGGGCAGUAGCGAAGCGACUAGUUUAAUUACAUUCUCUAGUAGCUUGGUCGUAGCGUCACUACUAUGUAUCGAGUAGCUAACAUCCCUGUAGUUAAGCUAUUUUUCCUCAAGUAGCGACGUUGUCUACAAAAGCUACAAUUUGUCCCCCAUCGAUUUUACUCAAUGAUUUUUGUUUUACUUUCUCUAUCCUGAAACCUAGGCAGUCACACAGGGGUUCCAAGACCCACCUGCGUAAAAUCAAGUCAAAGGCUGCUGUCUCAUAAUAUGGCGAAGACGAGUCACCUGAAGGCCUAACUCGCCAUAGAAGACUGAAAGAAUUGUCCUGCAGGAUGCUGUGUCCUGCAAUCCUGUGUGCUGUGCUACAGACGCGUGUGGAGGUCAACCCAAAAUGGGCACAGUCUCACCACAGAAGAGUGAAAGAGGAUCCUGGCAGGGAGACGGUAGUGUCCUGCAGAAUGGUGAUGGGCCAAUCUUACAAGAGACCACAGAAAACUGAUAUAGUGAACUAUAGAAACAACAGUGCCUGCUGCAGUAUAACGAGGACACCCUGAGCAGAGAGCUCCAAUAGAACCAGGUCCAGUGUCUUGGCAGGGUGAAAUGGCACUGAUAUGGUGUCCUGCAGGAUGCUGUGUCCUGCAAUCCUGUGUGCUGUGCUACAGACGCGUGUGGAGGUCAACCCAAAAUGGGCACAGUCUCACCACAGAAGAGUGAAAGAGGCUCCCAGAAGUGAGACUGAGUGCCUGUUGCAGUAUGACGAGGACGCAGUGACCAGAGACCUUCAGUAGACCCUGCUGGCAUGAUUGGCGGCUGAAGAACAUGAAAUCAACAGCAAUGUUUAUAAUGUUGUACAUACCUGUAUAGUCUGUAU